AAUAAGUGCAGUUUUAGCAUUGUUCAUGUCCAACGUUUGACUGUUUGUCUUAUUUGAAAUUUUUUUAUAAUUACUACUUUUAUUGUUAUUAGAUGAUAAAACAUGAAUAGUACUUUAUGUGUGACUAAUUUUUUUUAAUAUUUUUCAUAAUUUUUUCAAAUAAGACGGGUGGUCAAAACAAUGAACACGGAUAUCUAUGGCUGAACUUAUU
rfam:Oryza sativa Japonica Group DNA, chromosome 7, cultivar: Nipponbare, complete sequence.